AGCGAACGCUGGCGGCAGGCUUAACACAUGCAAGUCGAACGGGCACUUCGGUGCUAGUGGCAGACGGGUGAGUAACACGUGGGAACGUACCUUUCGGUUCGGAAUAAUUCAGGGAAACUUGGACUAAUACCGGAUACGCCCUUCGGGGGAAAGAUUUAUCGCCGAUAGAGCGGCCCGCGUCUGAUUAGCUAGUUGGUGAGGUAAUGGCUCACCAAGGCGACGAUCAGUAGCUGGUCUGAGAGGAUGAUCAGCCACAUUGGGACUGAGACACGGCCCAAACUCCUACGGGAGGCAGCAGUGGGGAAUAUUGGACAAUGGGCGCAAGCCUGAUCCAGCCAUGCCGCGUGAGUGAUGAAGGCCUUAGGGUUGUAAAGCUCUUUUGUCCGGGAAGAUAAUGACUGUACCGGAAGAAUAAGCCCCGGCUAACUUCGUGCCAGCCGCCGCCGUAACAC
rnacentral:rRNA from 1 species